UACCUGCACCAGGGAGACCCUGCCCCCUCUGCUCAGCCCUAGAGAGGCCACAUCUGGAGUGCUGUGUCCAGCUCUGGGCUCUUCAGUGCAAGAGAGACAUGGAGCCCCCGGAGCGAGUCCUGUGGAGGGCAACAAACGUGAUUAAGGGACUGGAACAUCUCUCUUAUUCGGAAAGGGCAAGGGAACUGGGCCUAUUCAGCCUCGAGAGGAGACGACUGAGAGGGUAGCUCAUCAAUGUGUACAAGUAUCUGAAGGGAGGGUACCAAGAGGAUGGAUCCAGGCUCUUCUCAGAAAUAGGACAAGAAAGAGGAGGCAGAAACUGUUGGACAGAGAGUUCCUGAACAUGAGGAAGAACUUCUUUACUGUGUGGGUGACCAUGCACUGGAACAGAUUGCCUAGAGAGGUUGUGGAGUCUCCCUCACUGGAGAUGUUCAAGAACCAUCUGGACACAAUCCUGUGCCGUGUGGUCUGGGAUGACCUACUUGAAAAGGGAUGUUGGACCAGAUGACCCACUGUGGUCCCUUCCAACCUUACCCACCCUGUGGUUCUGUGCCUUUAGACAUACCCCACACAUAUGUGGGGCUGUAUAAGUGAGAGGGUCCAAAAACUUGGAUAAUGGGUGCUGAAGCUGCGGCACCCACAGUGUGGAACAAGUGCAUGCACUGCUCAUGCAUCCAACUUUAUCUCUGAGGUUUUCCUUUGUACUUUAUCCUCAUGAAUAGUUUCUAUUUGUAGGCAAAGUUGCACAUGUGUAUUCGGUCGAGUAAGGGCCACAAAGGUGAUGAGGGGUCUGGAGCAUCUCUCUAAGGAGGAGAGACUGUGGGGAGCUGAGCCUGUUUAGUCUGGAGAAGAGAAGACUAAGAGGGAAUCUCAUCAAUGCAUAUAAAUAUGUCAUAUUAAUAUGUCAAAGGGAUGGUGCCAGACUCUUUUCAGUGGUGCUCAGUGACAGGACAAGGAGCAAUGGCCAUAAACUAAAACAGAAGAAGUUCACCUCAAGAUGAGGAAGAACUUCUUUUCACUGAGGUUGGCAGAGCACUGGAACAGGCUACCCAAGGAGAGCAUGGAUUCUCCCUCUCUGGAGACACUGAAAACCCACCUGGACGCAUUGCUGUGUAACCUGCUCUAAGUGACCCUGGGGUUGGUCCAACCCUAGGGGUUGGAGUAGAUGAUAUCCAGACGUCUUUUCCAACCCUGAGCGUUUGAUUCUGUGGUUCUGUAAAAGCGAUGGUGCCUCUAGCUUGCUUAAUUACUGUGAAUUCCUGCUGAGAGCCUGGCUAGCAGCAGUGCUGGAAGGUGUGCAGGCAUUAGACACGUUUAAAUGCUUGGAGCAUUUGAGAGCAUUAGGGCUUGCACACCUUUAUCUUCUUAAGCACCUUUUUAUAUAAACUCACAACACUUCUCUACACUGAAUAUACAGCUUACCACUGAUGGAGGGAGCAACUGAGUGCUGUGGACAAGGGAUAGAGGGCCUUUCAGGUGGAAAAAAAUAGCACAGAGUGCUUGCGUCUGAGGAUACGUACUCAAGAAAUGAAUGCUGGAUAAAGGCCUACUUUUUUGGAUGCUCCACAGACACAUCUGUAACUAAUAAGAUUCCAAAUAAUUGAGGUAAUUCCUUCAGAAAGACAGAGGAUGAAAAAUGUUCGCACACACAAAUUUGUAGCUCACACGGAGUUUUUGUUGGCGAAGGAUCUCUUCUGCAGAUACUUUGCAGACCUGCAUCAAAGGCUCACUUAUUCAAAUGCACGAGCUAUGGGUUUUUAGUAGGAUGUCUGUCACAACUGGAGUGUUCGUAUUGGUUUAUUCCUUCUUUAGGAAAGAAAAUGUGCAGAGAGGGUGACUUAUCAGGCCCGUUAAAGAUCACUAGAAUUUCUGAUUUCACAAAUCCAAGAUCCGAUGUGUUUAUGAGUCAAUGUUUAGGCUGAUAAAUCAGAAAAUUGAGUAAGGGUGAGACAGUAUCUGAAUACAGAGCUGGAUGAGCAGCUAUGUAGAUAUCUAGCUGGAAUGAGCUAUCUUAGGAUCUUCUUUUUAAUUUUUGUAUCUUAGUCUGUGGGAUAUGUCUAGAUCUCAAACCUCCACAAGUAAACAUGCCCUAGAUUUUAUCUAAAUAAUUGAUGAUUUUUUUCUAAAAUAAAAUCAUAUGUUAUUUUCAGAGCUCUCAGGUGCUUUGAAUUCUGACAAUUCUGACCAAAAUAAAAAUAGUCUAGUCUACUGAUGUUAUGGUUACUUGAAUGUAAAAUGGAAUAAUUUAACUAUAUUUGCUAUCUAUAAAUAUUUCCCAUAUAUAUGCACUUUACUGCAAAGGGGACAGUGUUCCAAGUCUGAAAAAAACUCUAAAUGACACCUGUUUAGAUAGAGAUAUGUAGGAAAAAUACAUCAAAUAGGUAAAUAGUUUAUUUAAGAAAACUGUACAGGAUACCCAAAAUAUGAUAUUAUGACAAUCAUCAAAGUUUCUUUUCAGCUAAAUGCAUUCAGUUAAAGAAAGAAAAAAAAAGUGACAAUUUUGUGAAAGUGAGAAAAGGAAAAGUGGGUGAGCUGAUAAGCAAGAAAGGUAAAUUACAGUCGUGAAACAAUAAGAAUAAUUCAUAGUAGCUAAAUAUAUGAAUGAAAAGUCUUGACUCAUUACCUACAGGACAAGGGGAAUACAUUUUUUAAAAUUUCAGGAUCAAGAAAGGAAAAAAUCUAGACAGUGGCACAGUUUCCCUGCUACUUCGACAUACACAACUUCCAAUAACAAUACUGAUGUAUAAAAGCAUUUAUUUUUUUAAUAGAAACCUGGAUAGUGCAGUAAUGCUUUCUAGAUAUAAUUGCAAAUGUUUUAUUCAAUCAGUACUUAGUAAGGAUGCUAAAUAGCAACUGGUAAAGGUAAAAACAUUUAAAUUUUCAGGACCAACUAAGUCAUGUCACAAAAUUCUGUGGGAUUCUAAAUCAUUCAUGGUAAUAAUCAACCUGUGUUUGUUCCAGAAAUGAAGAAGAGAAACUGAUUUGUUGUCUAUUAGAAAUGUAAAACAGAGGGGGUUGGAGCUAAAAUAGCAUGACAGUAAUUACCGUGCAGAUCUGAAAAGUAAUUGUACCUUGAAAAUCAUCAUUGAUUGGAGACCUCUUUAGCAAAGUACAUCAAGGAUUUGGUUUUAUCCCAAUCCUAUUAAAAAUAUUUAUUAACUUAGGUAAAGAAAACAUGAAAUAAUCGCUAAUAACAUAGAUGCAGCCAUAAACAUUUAUAGGGAGGAAAGGCAUCUAAGUACAAAGAAUAUUUUAAAGUCAAAUUAGAGAGGUGUUACAGUGUGGUUAUGAACAACUCAAAAAGAUUCAUGCUUAUGGUACAAACUUUUCAUUUAAAAACAAAGGAAUAUUAAGUAUCAAUGAUGUUAUCAUAUAUGUCAUUCCUUGAACUUUUACUGAAUAGUGAUAUUUCAUUUUAACACAGGUAAUUGACAAACUGGAAAAGCCAGGAAAUCUGCCUAGCAGUGAGAGAAUGAAGGAGCAUCUGUUCAGCUUAUACAAAACCUUGAUCGUAAUGUGCUAGAAUUUGCAAGGGAAUUUGAAAUAUUAAAAGUUUCUUUAAUCUGUCAGACAAGAAAAAUUCACAGAAGGAAGCCUUCAAAGUUUGUGGUGUAGAGUGGCGACUACUGUUUGGGCAAGGAGAGGCAGAGCAACUUGCCUACAGCAACACAAGUCACGGGUGGAACGAGGAUUAUGACACAGGAUUUCCUGCCUCCCAAAUCUCUACUGGUUCUUCCAGAUCAGGCCGCCUCCCAAGCAGGGACAAAUAGCAAGAGGGAUGUCAGCUGUACACAUCAAGACAAUGGCUAGAUGAUACCAUCCAGAAUAUCUACACAAGUAAAGGUAAAGUCUGAGCACAGAGUUUCUGCAUACUUUCAGCUAUUUUGAAUGUACAGGCAUAAUUAAUUUCUUAAAAUUAAUCACUUUCUGACCUGAUACCUCUGACCCUUUCUGAUCUCCCCAAAGAAGAGCUGAGUUAACUGCGUUUUAACAUCACCAGUGGUCUUGCCCAAGAAGUUUCAGAAAACACAACAGGACCAUUACUGUAUCCUUUGCAUAGCUGAUCAGGAUGAGAGAACAUUACUACUCUUACAAAAUAAGAGUAGUAAUGCUUUAUGAUUAUC